rnacentral:RNase_P_RNA from 1 species
CGAGCCAGGCGGUCGCCUCGGCUUUAAGCCGUGGAGGAAAGUCCGGGCUACAGAGGGCAGGGCGCCUCGUAACGCGAGGCCGGGGAAACCCGGGGAAAGUGCCACAGAAACCAGACCGCUCGCUGUAAAGCGAGUAAGGGUGAAACGGUGGUGUAAGAGACCACCCGCUCCGGUGGCAACACCGGUUUGGGUAAACCCCGCCCGUAGCAAGGCCAAGUACAGGAGGAGGAGUUGCCCGCUCCUUUAGACUCCAGGGUAGGCUGCAUGAGGAUGACGGCGACGUCAUUCCCAGAUAGAUGACCGCUUACUUCACUUGUUUGAAGGAUACAGAACCCGGCUUAUGGCUCGCUUA